CAGCAGCCGCGGGAAUACGUAGGGUGCGAGCGUUAAUCGGAAUUACUGGGCGUAAAGCGGGCGCAGACGGUUACUUAAGCAGGAUGUGAAAUCCCCGGGCUCAACCUGGGAACUGCGUUCUGAACUGGGUAACUAGAGUGUGUCAGAGGGAGGUAGAAUUCCACGUGUAGCAGUGAAAUGCGUAGAGAUGUGGAGGAAUACCGAUGGCGAAGGCAGCCUCCUGGGAUAACACUGACGUUCAUGCCCGAAAGCGUGGGUAGCAAACAGGAUUAGAUACCCGCGUAGUCCCUGUCUCUUAUAA
rnacentral:rRNA from 1 species